UGUGUGUCAGUGUAUUAACGUGCCAGAUGGAAUAAACACACGCUGAGAAGUAGCUCCGUGCCUGCCUACUUUAUGGGUUAUAGAUAAACCUAUGGAUAACGGAGACAUAUAUAAUAGUCUCCUUUUUGUUGUGUGUGCAGUUGUCACUGAGCUCCAAAAACUGUAGAUGUUAUAAAGUGACUGGGCCAGCACGCUGUUUAUGUGGAGGAAAAGUGGACGUGACAACAAGCUGUCCUCAUUUCUCCUGAUUUCCAGCCGGAAAUCGGGAGAAAUUUGGGAGAAUGGUUGUCCUAGGAGAUUUUCGGGAGAGGCACUGAAAUUCGGGAGUCUCCAGGAAAAUUUGGGAGAGUUGGCAGAUGGUGACCUGAAAGAUGAGGUCAAUGCAUACGACAACGCAAAGAUGAGUGGAAGAUGGGAAAAAAAUAUGUUUGUUUUGACUUCUGACCUUUGCCCUUUGAAUGUCACAUUAGUGGCGUGCAACCGGAUCUCACCCUCCCAUGGAAGGUAGAGGCUGACAGAGCGCUGGCAGCUGUAAGGUUUGGAACCACAGUCUGGGUCAUUGUGCACCUGCAUAGAGAAGGAUGCUAUGUGAUAUUAAAACAGUUCAUCCCUAAAUUUUAUUAUAAAAUCAUAUUUUAUCUAUUUUAUCAUAUUCAUUCUACAACCACAUGCUCAAAACACCUUUAGUUGGUAAUCACUAUUUAAUGUCAAAAAUUAUUAAGUGAAAUAUAACUGUAUAUUUUCCUGAUAAAUGUGAAACCUGAGCUUGAGUUUAUUUCGAACAUGCAAGCAUACACAUGAUACAUCACAAUUUCCAGUUUCUCUUUUCAACAUGUUCAAAAAGGAGUAGGAAGAAGCAGAGCUUAUUAAAUCCUACCCCUUUUCUUUUCCAUAACAGUUGCUAAAACUUUUGUUCACUUCCUGUUCUCAAUGUAUUCACAAUAUACUCCAUAAAUAAGUGUUUUUCAACCACUGUGCCACUAGUGUGACGUGAGAUACAGUCUGGUGUGCCGUGGGAGAUUAUCUAGUUUCACCUAUUUGGGUUAAAAAUAUUUUUUUGCAAACCAGUAAUUAUACUCUGCAAAUGAUGUGUUGUUCUUGAGUGUCGGUGUUGUCUAGAGCAGUGUUUUUCAACCACUGUGCCGCGGCACACUAGUGUGCCGUGAGACGCAGUCUGGUGUGCCUUGAGAGAUUAUCUAGUUUCACAUAUUUGGGUUAAAAAUAUCGUUUGCAAAGCAGUAAUUAUAUGUAUGAUGUGUUGUGGUUGAGUGUUGGUGCUGUCUAGAGCGGGAGGCAGUGUGCAGGUAAAAAGGUGUCUAAUGCUUAAACCAAAAAUAAACAUAGGGUAAGUGCCUCUAGGAAAAGACUUUAAAGCUUAGAUAAGGCUAUGCAGAUUGAAACUGAAAACUGAACUGGCUACAAUGUAAACAAAAACAGAAUGCUGGACGACAGCAAAGACUUACUGUGGAGCAAAGACAAUGUACGUCUGAACAUGACAUGACAAUCAACAAUGUUCCCACAAAUAAGGAUUAAAAACUAUUGAAAUAUUCUUGAUUGCUAAAACAUGUAUAUGUGAGAAAUAUCACUCAAAGGAAGACAUGAAACUGCUACAGGAAAAUACCAAACAAAGGGAAAAAAACACCAAAAUAGGAGCACAAGACAAGAACUAAAACACUACACACAGGAAAACAGCAAAAAAGUCCUAAUAAAUCACGGUGUGCUAUGACAGGUGGUGACAGUACACCUACUUUGAGACAAGAGCUAUAGUCAUGCAUGCUUGGUUAUGAUUAAAAGUCGUAUCCAAAAAUUGCGACUUUUUACUGUCAACUGAGUUUCUUUUUUUAAUGAUUUCUGCUGGUGGUGUGACUCCGCAUUUUUUCAACGCAAAAAAUGUGCCUUGGCUCAAAAAAGGUUGAAAAACGCUGCCAUAAGUAUCACAAUAAAAAUAAAUAAAUAUUGGUGAAGUAAGUUAUAUUCAAUACAAUGAGUUAAGUAAGGUUAUUUUGAGAAUGAGAUAAUGGAUGGAUGAGCUAUUUAAAUAAAACAUCCAUCCAUCCAUCCAUUUUCUACCGCUUAUUCCCUUUUGGGGUCGAGGGGGGCGCUGGCGCCUAUCUCAGCUACAAUCGGGCGGAAGGCGGGGUACACGGAAAAGUAAAUUCAACAAGCUUAAUACAUAUAAGAUCAGGUUCCAAAUUAUCUCCGUUAGAUUAAUUCUUACUUCUUAUUGUUUAUAUGUUAGGGGUCUUGUAUUCAGACAAGUUUUAGGUAUAAUUAUUUUAUUUUCUACCUGAAUGUAAAGGUAACUUAAGUUUAAAUAAUUAAUUUGCUUACACUUUUAUACUCUUGUUGCCUUAUUUGAAUUUGACUUUAUUAAAUGUAUUUAUACUAUCAUUUGGUCCAGCCAGGCCGGAGCAGGAGGGAAUAGAAAGAGAAAAAAAGCAAGACAAAGGGGGAAAUUGUGGGGAUAAGAAGGGGACUGGACAGAGAGACAAAAACAACAACAGCAAACACAACAAUAACAACAAAAACAACAACAACAAUAGAACAACACCAGCUUAUACGAUAUGUACAAAUAUGAUUGUAAAAGUGAUAGCAAAGAAGCAGUUAGUGAAAUAAAUAAUAAUAUAGAAAUGACAAUGAGCAUUUUUACACUACAACUGCAGCAAUACAAAUACCAAUAGAAAAAGCGCUUUUGAUUAUGAACAAUACCAAUAGUUUACCUCUAUUAUCAAAAAUGCAGUUGUUCAAAUGCAACAAUACAUAUACAAAAUGAUAACUAGAAAGAUUUAAAAAAAAUAAAAAAAAAGAAUACCAAAAGAUGGAGGGGAAGAGAGAGAGGCAACCUAUAAUAAUCUUGUAGAUUGUUAUAGUAACAAUAGGUUAAGCUUUGUCAGUAUGCCAUGUGUUACCCAGUUUACCCUAGGGCAACAACAUUGAUAUAUGUUUGAUGAAACUUGUAGAAAUAAAAUAUCAAAAUGUGUUAAGUCGACAAAAAGAUCACUGGGUUGGGUUGAAAAACAGCAGUUAAUUGACUCACAUUUUUACAUGCAUUGAUUGUUCUCUAAAGGCGAUAUUAGUUAAGCAUGCUGAUACGAGUGUUCACCUGAACAACGAUGUUGGCCACAGUAGUUUCCUCACAGUCUUUGAGCAGUGUGUACGUGCAUCGACCAGGGAAGUAAUAGUAGAGGCCAUCAAAGGUCUCAAAGUGGUACUGACCCCAAGUCCUGCAUGUCAUCUCCCUCUCAAAACCAGGAUUGGGAACUGAGCACAUAGUAAAUAGAGUAGAAAGUAUACAUGAUUAUAAGGGUUUGGGUGGAAAUCCACGCAAAGAAUUUAUCUGAUUCUCACUGCCAUUUUAUACUUCUUUUAACUAGGUUAGCAAUGCUUUGUUUAUUGCAAAAAAAUAAUCAUGUUAACCAGCAACAAAAUGUUCCUAUCAGUUUAUGUUUAGUUCCCAAACAAAGCACUUACCCAGUGAAAAAUGUCUAAUAUCACCUAAUUGACUGAAAAGAAUGGGCCUAAAAUGUGUUUUACCUGUUUGACACCUCUGUCCAGUGGCCUGAAACAAGCUGCAGUCACAUGACUCAGAACGAGUGCACCAACCACCAUUCAGGCAGGAAAAGGCUGAACACCCUCUCUGAUGAUGCAUUGCUGUGUGGCACGCACAAAAGUGCCUUCAUCAAAUGCACCAGAGUCUGGAAUCUUCCAUCUACCGAGGAUUUCGUUGUGGUUUGUGGAGCCCUUUGAGACACUUGUGAUUUAGGGCUAUAUGAAUAAACAUUGAUUGAACUCUCCCUAGCAUACCCCUUUCCCCUUCGAGCUGUCUUGGAUGGACUGAAAUUCUUGUUUCCAAUCAUUUUGGAACUUGCAAGCGUACUUCUUACUCGUCGACGCCAUGUCUCUUCUUCGUUUUUCUGCUUCGUCUCUGUUAUGAUUUUGGACAUUACUACUUGCCGUAGAUUUGAAGCAAUGCAUGAUGGGAAUACGGAUGUUGUGUGUCAGUGUAUUAACGUGCCAGCUGGAAUAAACACACGCUGAGAAAUAGCUCCGUGCCUGCCUACUUUAUGGGUUAUAGAUAAACAUAUGGAUAACGGAGACAU